AAUAUGUUGGAAUUUAUAUAAAUCAAAAUAAAGAGUUGGAAGUGGGAUUAAUAGGGUGGCGUGGGGUCUAGGGAUUCUCUCCAAUUCCACAAUAUGCAAAAGAAUGUCACUUAUCGUGAUGAGUGAUGUUCCUUGAUUCCUCUGAAAGAUUCACCUGUUACAUUCUCCUUUAUUGUCUCUGUCUUUUACUUCUUACAUUUUUGGUGUAUAUACACUUUAAUUUAGUGUAAGUUAAUAUUACCUGCGUUAGUACACCACGUUGGAACUUUGAUUGUCUGGUUGGAUCCUAGUUGUCGAAUCGGGUAU
rnacentral:lncRNA from 1 species